rnacentral:rRNA from 2 species
AAGCGGCAAGAGCUCAAAUUUGAAAGCCUCGGCGUUGUAAUUUGAAGGCGUGCGGUCUGGCUGCCGCGAAGUGCCCUGGAACGGGCCGCCGCAGAGGGUGACAGCCCCGUGUGGCGUGCCGUGCCCGCGCGCCGACGAGUCGAGUUGUUUGGGAAUGCAGCUCCAAGUGGGUGGUAAACUCCAUCUAAAGCUAAAUACCGGCGAGAGACCGAUAGCGAACAAGUACAGUGAUGGAAAGAUGAAAAGCACUUUGAAAAGAGAGUGAAACAGUACGUGAAAUUGUUGAAAGGGAAGGGCUGGCGCGCAGACACCGCGAGGGCCUAGGGAGUGUUGGGCAGACGGGACAAGCGGCGGAGCCGCUUAGGCAUUGCUCCGUCGGAUGCCGUUUGCUCGACACAGGCC